ACUAAUAUACUAUAAAUGAAGUUAGCAUAAAAUGGUUUUCCUAUUUUCUUAAUGACACAAAUGCUAAAGAUGGUUCGAAGAAGAUUUCACUAACAGAUAAUAAUCAUCCUUAUAAUGACAGAUUUAUAGCGUUGAAUUCAACAAGUUUGAAAAAAAGACGAAAGCGUAGUGGCUUAAUUUAAAUGAUUGAAUUAGGUACCCUAAGAAGUCCUAACGGUCUUGUCACAGAGCACCGCGGAAGUGCAUUUAACCAGGAAGUUCACGCCUCCUUUCUUACCAUGACGCGAAAUAUGUCCAAAGCUCGUUUUGAACCUGGAUCUCCUGCUUACAAAGCCUAUGAUCUAACCAUUGCGCCACGGCCGCACAAUAUUUGGCAUAACUUUUUUGUGAAUCAAGAAGCUCGUUUUGAUCAGUUUAGAAAAUUAAAAGGUUUAAAGAAAGAUAAGCGCUAGAAAAGAAUGAGCUAAAACAAAGUGAAGUUACAUUAUAUUUUUAAAUAUAUUAGUUGAGGUUGUGAGUUUAUGUUCACUUAUUUUAGUUUAAAAGACAUCAUUGUCAGACACUUGUCUCAGAAAGCCAUAGCUAUUCAAAGGCGUCUAAAUUUUAUUACGCCUAAUACAGGUCUUUAAACGUCUUUAAAAAACGCUGAGAAGAGAAAUGUUUUUUUUUUAAUAUUGUUACUCUGUAGAAGUUACUGAUAUACCUGAUACUUCAAUGAAGUUUUCAUUCUAUUUAUAAAAUAUUUUAUUUUUUCUUCAAACCUAAUAUUUGUUUAACUUUCUACAGGUAAUACUAAUAUGAAAACAAUUUUUAUUGUUUUUUGAUUUAUACUCGG